AUGUUCUCAACGGUUUGUUCUGAUCCAAGUCACAUUAAAUUAAAUUCAACUGAUUUCCUACCCAUAUGUUACGCGUGGACUAACCUUCAAGAGAGGUCCCCAUUCCCCCUGGAACAGAUGCUCUACUGCAGCCUAAGCAUGGGAAAGGAGAUUGAAGACAGAUGGAAGAGAGGAUUAUAUUGUCACACACGGUUACAAUACUUAAAAAAAAAUCGAGGCAGUUAUCCUCACCUUUUUAUUCAUGAGGGAACAGGACUUCAGACAGGCAACAUGUUCCAGUCACAGAGCAUCCAUGAGAACUUGGGAUCCAUAGGUCUUGGAUUUUCUGACUGCGAGUCUGAGACUUCCCUCAUUCAGAAUCCAGCUAAAUUCCUCCUCUUCUCUCCUAAACUACAUCGUCUCCUAGAGAACCAUCCUCAGCUUUUGUCACAAACUGACUGCAGGGAUUCCUAUGUUUUACUAGCCAACUUGGCCACAUCUGGGUACCCUGUAUGGUGUUGA
rnacentral:lncRNA from 1 species